UUCCGGUUGAUCCUGCCGGACCUGACUGCUAUCGGAUUGAUACUAAGCCAUGCGAGUCUUUGUAGUAAUACAAGGCAUACGGCUCAGUAACGCGUAGUCAACCUACCCUAUGGACAAGAAUAAUCUCGGGAAACUGAGCAUAAUUCUUGAUAGAUCAUAAUGCCUGGAAUGGUUUAUGGUUAAAAUGAUUCGUCGCCAUAGGAUGGGACUGCGGCCUAUCAGCUUGUUGGUGAGGUAAUGGCCCACCAAGGCGAUAACAGGUACGGGCUCUGAGAGGAGAAGCCCGGAGAUGGGUACUGAGACAAGGACCCAGGCCCUAUGGGGCGCAGCAGGCGAGAAAACUUUGCAAUGUGCGAAAGCACGACAAGGUUAGUCCGAGUGAUUUCUGCUAAAGAGAUCUUUUGCUAGUUAUAAAACCACUAGUGAAUAAGGGGUGGGCAAGUUCUGGUGUCAGCCGCCGCGGUAAAACCAGCACCUCAAGUGGUCAGGAUGAUUAUUGGGCCUAAAGCAUCCGUAGCCGGCUCUGUAAGUUUUCGGUUAAAUCUAUGCGCUCAACGUAUGGGCUGCCGAAAAUACUGUAGAGAUAGGGAGUGGGAGAGGUAGACGGUACUCGGUAGGAAGGGGUAAAAUCCUUUGAUCUAUCGAUGACCACCUGUGGCGAAGGCGGUCUACCAGAACACGUUCGACGGUGAGGGAUGAAAGCUGGGGGAGCAAACCGGAUUAGAUACCCGGGUAGUCCCAGCUGUAAACGAUGCAGACUCGAUGAUGCAUUGGCAUAUAGCCAGUGCAGUGUCGCAGGGAAGCCGUUAAGUCUGCCGCCUGGGAAGUACGUACGCAAGUAUGAAACUUAAAGGAAUUGGCGGGGGAGCACCACAAGGGGUGAAGCCUGCGGUUCAAUUGGAGUCAACGCCGGG
rnacentral:rRNA from 1 species